rnacentral:rRNA from 2 species
GCAGUCGAACGAGCUUCCGUUGAAUGACGUGCUUGCACUGAUUUCAACAAUGAAGCGAGUGGCGAACUGGUGAGUAACACGUGGGGAAUCUGCCCAGAAGCAGGGGAUAACACUUGGAAACAGGUGCUAAUACCGUAUAACAACAAAAUCCGCAUGGAUUUUGUUUGAAAGGUGGCUUCGGCUAUCACUUCUGGAUGAUCCCGCGGCGUAUUAGUUAGUUGGUGAGGUAAAGGCCCACCAAGACGAUGAUACGUAGCCGACCUGAGAGGGUAAUCGGCCACAUUGGGACUGAGACACGGCCCAAACUCCUACGGGAGGCAGCAGUAGGGAAUCUUCCACAAUGGACGAAAGUCUGAUGGAGCAAUGCCGCGUGAGUGAAGAAGGGUUUCGGCUCGUAAAACUCUGUUGUUAAAGAAGAACACCUUUGAGAGUAACUGUUCAAGGGUUGACGGUAUUUAACCAGAAAGCCACGGCUAACUACGUGCCAGCAGCCGCGGUAAUACGUAGGUGGCAAGCGUUGUCCGGAUUUAUUGGGCGUAAAGCGAGCGCAGGCGGUUUUUUAAGUCUGAUGUGAAAGCCUUCGGCUUAACCGGAGAAGUGCAUCGGAAACUGGGAGACUUGAGUGCAGAAGAGGACAGUGGAACUCCAUGUGUAGCGGUGGAAUGCGUAGAUAUAUGGAAGAACACCAG